GACGAACGCUGGCGGCGUGCUUAACACAUGCAAGUCGAACGAUGAUCAGGAGCUUGCUCCUGUGAUUAGUGGCGAACGGGUGAGUAACACGUGAGUAACCUGCCCCUGACUCUGGGAUAAGCGUUGGAAACGACGUCUAAUACUGGAUAUGAUCACUGGCCGCAUGGUCUGGUGGUGGAAAGAUUUUUUGGUUGGGGAUGGACUCGCGGCCUAUCAGCUUUUUGGUGGGGUAAUGGCUCACCAAGGCGACGACGGGUAGCCGGCCUGAGAGGGUGACCGGCCACACUGGGACUGAGACACGGCCCAGACUCCUACGGGAGGCAGCAGUGGGGAAUAUUGCACAAUGGGCGAAAGCCUGAUGCAGCAACGCCGCGUGAGGGAUGACGGCCUUCGGGUUGUAAACCUCUUUUAGUAGGGAAGAAGCGAAAGUGACGGUACCUGCAGAAAAAGCACCGGCUAACUACGUG
rnacentral:rRNA from 1 species